rnacentral:rRNA from 1 species
UGAAUACGAGACGCUAAGGCGUCGAAGUAGUGUAUGUCAUACUUCCAAGAAAAGCUUGCACUGUCAUAGAUAAAAAACGCCUGUACCAUAACCGACACAGGUGGGUAGGUAGAGUAUACUAAGGGGCGCGAGAUAACUCUCUCUAAGGAACUCGGCAAAAUAACUCCGUAACUUCGGGAGAAGGAGUGCCUUAUUCGUAAGGUUGCAAUAACAAGAUCCAAGCAACUGUUUAUCAAAAACACAGGUCUCCGCUAAGUCGUAAGACGAUGUAUGGGGGCUGACGCCUGCCCAGUGCCAGAAGGUUAAAGAAGUUGGUUAGCAAUUGCGAAGCUGAUAACUGAAGCCCUGGUGAACGGCGGCCGUAACUAUAACGGUCCUAAGGUAGCGAAAUUCCUUGUCGGGUAAGUUCCGACCCGCACGAAAGGCGUAAUGAUUUGGAUACUGUCUCGGAGAGGGGCUCGGUGAAAUAGACUUGUCUGUGAAGAUGCGGACUACCUGCACCAGGACAGAAAGACCCUAUGAAGCUUUACUGUAACUUGAAAUUGAAAUUGGACUUUAUUCGCGCAGUAUAGGUGGGAGGCGUUGAUUAUAAUCUUGUGGGAUUAUUGGAGCCAUCAGUGAGAUACCACUCUUGUAAUGUUAGAUUUCUAACUUUGAAUCAUUAUCUGGUCAAAGAACAGUUUCAGGCGGGCAGUUUGACUGGGGCGGUCGCCUCCUAAACGGUAACGGAGGCGUACAAAGGUUUCCUCUGAACGGUUAGAAAUCGUAUCUAGAGUGUAAAGGCGUAAGGAAGCUUGACUGUGAGACCUACAAGUCGAGCAGGGACGAAAGUCGGUCUUAGUGAUCUGACGGUACUGAGUGGAAAGGCCGUCACUCAACGGAUAAAAGUUACUCUAAGGAUAACAGGCUGAUCUCCCCCAAGAGUUCACAUCGACGGGGAGGUUUGGCACCUCGAUGUCGGCUCAUCGCAUCCUGGGGCGGUAGUACGUCCCAAGGGUUGGGCUGUUCGCCCAUGAAAGCGGUACGCGAGCUGGGUUCAGAACGUCGUGAGACAGUUCGGUCCAUAUCCGGUGUAGGCGUUAGAAUAUUGAGAGGAGCCUUCUUUAGUACGAGGGGACCGAGAAGGACAUACCUCUGGUGUACCAGUUAUCGUGCCAACGGUAAACGCUGGGUAGCUAUGUAUGGAGUGGAUAACCGCUGAAAGCAUCUAAGUGGGAAGCCCACCUCAAGAUAAGUAUUCUCAC